rnacentral:rRNA from 1 species
CCUACGGGAGGCUGCAGUGGGGAAUAUUGCACAAUGGAGGGAACUCUGAUGCAGCGACGCCGCGUGAGUGAAGAAGUAAUUCGUUAUGUAAAGCUCUAGCAGCAGGGAAGAAAGUGACGGUACCUGAAAAAGAAGCUCCGGCUAAAUACGUGCCAGCAGCCGCGGUAAUACGGAUGGAGCAAGCGUUAUCCGGAUUUACUGGGUGUAAAGGGAGAGUAGGUGGCAGAGCAAGUCCGAAGUGAAAACCCAAAGCGCAACUAUGGGAAUGCUUUAGAAACUGCCCGGCUGGAGUGCGGGAGAGGUAAGCGGAAUUCCUAGUGUAGCGGUGAAAUGCGUAGAUAUUAGGAGGAACACCAGCGGCGAAGGCGGCUUACUGGACCGUGACUGACGUUGAGGCUCGAAAGCGUGGGGAGCAAACAGGAUUAGAUACCCCUGUAGUC